ACUGUCAUCCAGAACGGCGCAGCCCGGACCGCUGCGACCCUCCAGGAUGGGCGUCUGCAGGAUGUUCCACUGGUCUGCUUUUGGGUCGUAACACUCGACGAGCAUCACAUCCAGAUGGCAGCGUAGCGCACAACUAUGUGGAGUAGACGCGCACCAAAGGAAGAAUAAAUGCUAACAGCAGCUCAACUCGUGAUGUGUUUCUUUUCCAUUUCACAGACCACAUGCCCUCUGAACCGUGACUUAGAGGAGCAACAUUCGGUUUUAUACACCUGUGACCAGGCAAAGUGAUUAGGACACCUGAUUCUGAUCAUUU